rnacentral:rRNA from 1 species
UACAGAGGUCCCAAGCGUUGUUCGGAUUCACUGGGCGUAAAGGGUGCGUAGGCGGUCGGGUAAGUCUGAUGUGAAAUCUCACAGCUUAACUGUGAAACUGCAUUGGAUACUAUCCGGCUCGAGGAAUGGAGUGGAGACUGGAAUACUUGGUGUAGCAGUGAAAUGCGUAGAUAUCAAGUGGAACACCAGUGGCGAAGGCGAGUCUCUGGACAUUUCCUGACGCUGAGGCACGAAAGCCAGGGGAGCAAACGGG